rnacentral:rRNA from 1 species
UGGCUCAGGACGAACGCUGGCGGCAUGCCUAACACAUGCAAGUCGAACGGACAUAACCAAGUUAUAGCGAUAUAAUGCGGGUAUGUUAGUGGCGAACGGGUGAGUAACACGUGAGCAACCUGCCCUGUACAACGGGAUAACAGUUGGAAACGACUGCUAAUACGGUAUAAGACCACACUGCGGCAUCGCAGAGGGGUAAAAGUGAAUUAGCGGUACAGGAUGGGCUCGCGUCCAAUUAGCUAGUUGGUGAGGUAACGGCUCACAAAGGCGACGAUUGGUAGCCGACCUGAGAGGGUGAUCGGCCACACUGGAACUGAGACACGGUCCAGACUCCUACGGGAGGCAGCAGUGGGGAAUAUUGGGCAAUGGAGGAAACUCUUACCCAGCAAUGCCGCGUGAAGGAAGAAGGUCUUCGGAUUGUAAACUUCUUUUAUUGGGGACGAAUAAAUGACGGUACCCGAUGAAUAAGCCCCGGCUAACUAUGUGCCAGCCGCCGC